rnacentral:rRNA from 1 species
UACGUAGGUGACAAGCGUUGUCCGGAUUUACUGGGCGUAAAGAGCGCGCAGGCGGUCGAUCAAGUCGAGUGUGAAAGCCCCCGGCUCAACUGGGGAGGGUCAUUCGAUACUGAUCGACUCGAAGGCAGGAGAGGGUAGUGGAAUUCCCCGGUGUAGUGGUGAAAUGCGUAGAUAUCGGGAGGAACACCAGUGGCGAAGGCGACUACCUGGCCUGUUCUUGACGCUGAGGCGCGAAAGCUAGGGGAGCAAACGGG